CCAGGAAGGCCUGAAGAACCUUGUGUCCUGAAUGUGCAAAGUGGCCCACUCUGGGGCGGGCCAAAGCUUCCUCUUCCACGCCUGUGUGUCAAUCCCUUUCAGGUUUUAGAAAGCACUAGUGAGUCAUCUUUCUCACUGGGUUUCGUGAACUUCUUUCAUUCUUAAUCUAACACCAGGGACCAUAGCAAGAAAUAGUUAUAGCCCUUGGCCUUGUUCUGAGUUUGGGGAGGGGCUGCAGUUGACUUGGUAUUAUGUGUGGUAGGUACCUGGGCCUGGGAAAGUUUUGUGAUGCUGGACAGUGGUGGACUUGUGGAAACUUGUACAAACUUGGGUGAGUAUACCUGGUGACGAACACACAGGCACAGUGAGCACGUUUGUGCCAUGUGGUACCGGCAGAGUGUUCUUGGUCUUUGUCUCCUUGGCAUUCAGAUACAUCAUAGGUGUGGCCUAAAGGCAGGCAGGGCUCUGUUAUUGGAGAUGGUGUGUUUGCAUUCUGUAUGAGUGAGUGCUGGAGCCUUGCUGAGAUCAUAAGCUACGAUUGCCAGGCCUCUGUGGUGGAAGAUUGAAGGCAUUGCACAAGCCUCCACUCAGUAUGUGAAGUCACUUGUCAUGAGUUCUUCUGACUUUUGUGUGUCUGCUGAAGAAGGAAAAGCAAAUGCAUAAAGCAACUAGAUCUUCAGAUCCUCAGGAGACCACAGGUAUAUAUUCAUCUAAAAGUCAUUUUCCAGAUCUUUCCAAACUAAAGUGAUUUGGGUUGCAAGUGCUUAUCAGUAGGAUCUUGUGUUCCCAAGCUCUUAGCCAUUCCAAGAGUCUACUGUGGACUGGUUGUAAGCUGGAAAUCGUGGAGGAGUCAAUGCUUGCUGGUAUUUUACUCAGUUGUUGUUUAAAUCAUGUAUGGGGAUUCUUUACUGUCAUUUAUACUCUAAUGUCUUGACUAGUAUGAAAAUGCUAUAAUUCCAUGGGCUAGGAGAUGGCUCAGUUGGUAAAGUGUCUCCUAUACAAGCAUGAGGACUUGAGUUUGGAUCCCUAGUACCUGUGUAAAAGCCAGCGGCAGCAGUAUAUCUGUCACCCCAGCAUUAAGGUGGGGUGAGGAUGAGUGCAAAGAUGAGGAUCUUGAGCUUGUUGGCCAGUCAGCAUAGUUAAAUUGAUAAGCCAGGUUCAAUGAGAGAGAUACUGUCUCAAAAAAAAAAAAGUAGGUAGUUGAGGAAGACCCCCCCCC